GUUUGUUUGAAGUUAUAAAGAAUUUGACCUGCCCCCUGAUUAACUAUUAAAGGGCCGCAGUAUUAUAACUGUGCAAAGGUAGCAUAAUCAUUAGGUUUUUAAUUGAAAUCUCGUAUGAAUGGUUGGACAAAAGAAAGACUCUCUUUAUAUUAAGUUUUGAAUUUAACUUUUAAGUGAAAAGGCUUAAAUAUUCUAAAGGGACGAUAAGACCCUAUAAAACUUUACAUUGUCAUUAAUUUUGAUUGAAUUUAUAAAAUAAGAAUUUUAUUUGAUUAUCUGUUAUGUUGGGGAGGCACAAGUAAAAUAUUUUUUUAACUGCUUGAUAGUUAUACAAUUAUUAGUGAGUAAGUAGAAGAUCCUUUUUAAGAUUAGUAGAUUAAGUUACUUUAGGGAUAACAGUGUAAUUUCUUUUGAGAGUUCUUAUCGAAAAAGAAGGUUGCAACCUCGAUGUUGAAUUAAAAUAUCUAUAUAAUGGAGAGGUUAUAUAAGAAGGUCUGUUCGACCUUGAAAUUUUUACAUGAUUUGAGUUCAAACCGGUGUGAG
rnacentral:rRNA from 1 species